rnacentral:lncRNA from 1 species
UUGACCCCUUACGGAGUUAUUGCCCUUUAUAGUCAAUUUUUAACAAUUUUUAUAACUUUUGUAAAUUUUUACAAAAUAUUUUCCACUGUAGCUACUGGGCCAAGUUCAUUAUAGAUAGAGAUAAUUGUAAGCAGCAAGAAUGUUCAGUAAAGUAAGAUCUACAAACACAUCACCAUCACCAAAAAACAAUUUUGUCAUGAAUCCAUCUGUGUCCUUUGUUUAAUAUGCACAUAGACCAAGGUGAGCAACACAGGCUCUUUAGAGCCUCUAGUUUUAAUUUUUAUGCCCCACCUACGAUAGUAGAGGGGCAUUAUGUUUUCUGGUCUGUGCGUCCGUUCGUCCGUCUGUCUGUCUGUUCGUUCGUCUGUUCGUUCGUCCGUCUGUUCGUUCGUCCGUCUGUCCCGCUUCAGGUUAAAGUUUUUGGUCAAGGUAGUUUUUGAUGAAGUUGAAGUCCAAUCAACUUGAAACUUAGUACACAUGUUCCUUAUGAUAUGAUCUUUCUAAUUUUAAAGCCAAAUUAAACUUUUGACCCCAAUUUCACGGUCCACUGAACAUAGAAAAUGGAAGUGCAUGUUUCAGGUUAAAGUUUUUGGUCAAGGUAGUUUUUGAUGAAGUUGAAGUCCAAUCAACUUGAAACUUAGUACACAUGUUCCCUAUGGUAUGAUCUUUCUAAUUUUAAUGUUUAAUUAUAUUUUUUAUCCAAUUUCACGGUCCAUUGAACAUGGAAAAUGAUAGUGCAAGUGGGGCAUUCGUGUACUUUGGACACAUUCUUGUU